UACGAAGGGUGCAAGCGUUACUCGGAAUUACUGGGCGUAAAGCGUGCGUAGGUGGUGAGUUAAGUCUGUCGUGAAAGCCCCCGGGCUCAACCUGGGAAUGGCGAUGGAUACUGGCUCGCUAGAGUGCGGUAGAGGAGAGUGGAAUUCCCGGUGUAGCAGUGAAAUGCGUAGAGAUCGGGAGGAACAUCAGUUGCGAAGGCGGCUCUCUGGACCAGCACUGACACUGAGGCACGAAAGCGUGGGGAGCAAAACAGG
rnacentral:rRNA from 1 species